UACGUAGGGUGCGAGCGUUAAUCGGAAUUACUGGGCGUAAAGCGUGCGCAGGCGGCGGCUCAAGUCAGGUGUGAAAUCCCCCGGGCUUAACCUGGGAACUGCGUUUGAAACUGGAAGGCUAGAGUGUGGCAGAGGGGGGUGGAAUUCCACGUGUAGCAGUGAAAUGCGUAGAGAUGUGGAGGAACACCGAUGGCGAAGGCAGCCCCCCCUGGGCUAACACUGACGCUCAUGCACGAAAGCGUGGGGAGCAAACAGG
rnacentral:rRNA from 1 species